rnacentral:rRNA from 1 species
AGAUUGCCUCAGUACGGCGAGUGAGCGGCAACAGCUCAAAUUUGAAAUCUGGCCGCAAGGUCCGAGUUGUAAUUUGCAGAGGAUGCUUUUGGCGAGGUGCCUUCCGAGUUCCCUGGAACGGGACGCCAUAGAGGGUGAGAGCCCCGUACGGUUGGACCACCGAGCCUCUGUAAAGCUCCUUCGACGAGUCGAGUAGUUUGGGAAUGCUGCUCUAAAUGGGAGGUGUACGUCUUCUAAAGCUAAAUACCGGCCAGAGACCGAUAGCGCACAAGUAGAGUGAUCGAAAGAUGAAAAGCACUUUGAAAAGAGGGUUAAAAAGUACGUGAAAUUGUUGAAAGGGAAGCGUUUAUGACCAGACUUGGGCUUGGUUGAACAUCCGGCGUUCUCGCCGGUGCACUCUGCCAGUCCAGGCCAGCAUCAGUUUGUCCCGGGGGAUAAAGGCGGUGGGAAUGUGGCUCCCCCGGGAGUGUUAUAGCCCGCCGUGCAAUGCCCUGGGACGGACUGAGGAACGCGCUUCGGCACGGAUGCUGGCGUAAUGGUCAUCAACGACCCGUCUUGAACCCACGGGACCA